rnacentral:lncRNA from 1 species
UUUUUCUUUGUUUUUUUUAUACUUUCAUAGUUUACUAUUUCUAGAUUAAUAUGGUAAAAUAAUUAGAUUAUCAAUUAGUCUAUGUAUAGACCUAGAAUUCCUUUAGCCGUAACUAUUUUUCUUCUGUAAAAUAGCUUGGCCUUGAUCUUUCAAAUAGCCAUAACAUUUUACUCGUUCAUCCAAAUUAGAUAAAACCAGCACCUAUAGUUUCGUCUUGUUUUCACCUAUCCCGUUAACCUGUCACGUCAACUUUUUGAAAUUUUCAAAUUUCGAAAUUUGUUCAGAUUCAUAUUCAAACUUCUUUUGUUCAUAACUUGAGUUUCGUAGCUCCCUUUGAGUUGAUUCUUUUUGCAAAUUAAAGAUCUUGACCUAAACUUUCUGAUAAGGCCAAAUUGACAUAAUUUUGGUACUGUUAGAAAUUAUUUUAUGUUGCAAGAGUUAUUUGCUUGGUUUUGAUGUUUUCCGAAGUGUCUUCUUCGUUCUUUCCAAUCUUUUGAGUGAUUGCUUAUGUGUGGUUAACAUUGCUUGAUUACGAUAGAUUUACCGGAGUGUGACGAGUAGAUCUAUCAAGAGUUUUGAGUGCGAAUCAUCUUCAUCAACAGUACGGGCAAGUAACACUUUGAUCAUACCCCUUUUACUACCCAGUUUUUAUGCAUUAGUUUCACCCUCAAACAUUGCAUUAGUAGGAUUGAUAACAUGUGGGUAUUGGGAAGUAGUUCGUGAGGUAGGAACAUAUUGCCCUGCAUUCAAACCUUGGGAGUUACUAUUACGUUAUGCUUAUAUUGCCAUGCUAUGCUCAUAGACGUGGAUUGGGUUUGAGUGUAUCCAUGACAGAUGUGAGAUUGUUAAUUUAAGGUUUAACUUAAGGUGGCUACUUUCAUGCUAGAAACUUCUGUGUGCAACCACAAGCUAUUAUGGGCUCUAGCAUAGUUGAGUAGGUUACAUGACCUCUUGAAGAGGUGGGCUAGCAGAUGUAGGGGAAAGUAGGUGUAACUAUCUACCCGGAGUGAAGAGUUAUUGUUUCUGAAAGACUGUGUCUCGGUCAUCCGUUUCUCAAACACCAUGUAGUGCGAGAAAUCAAACGGAGGAGAUCGAGUCUUGUGGGGAAAAGUGCGCAAACCUCUGCAGAGUGUACAAACUAAUCAUGGUUAGCCGUGUCCCCGGUUAUGGACAAUCUUGAGUCUCUGGUACUUGGAUUAUCAUAUUGAUCUCAUCACGUUACUUAAAUAAUUUGUUGGGUUAUUGAUGUUAAUUUGGGAUUGAGUUGGAGGAACCUUCUCAAUAUUUUCAACCAACUUUGUAGUUAAAUAAAUAUAUUCCUUUGAAGUAGGGAAAAAUUGGCUUUUCACAAAAACAUUAUAACCGUAGAGCUUUCCACCAGCCAUAUAUGCAUGUAGUGAUAGCAUUUAUUUUGCUCAUUGCUCUACUGUGUUAUCUUGCCAGUACAUUCAAUGUACUGACCCAUUUCGGGCAGCAACGUCUCAUGUUGCAGGAUUCUUACGACGAGUAAGUGAUAUGUUAGGGUUACGAUUUCUACACUCAACUUUACCGUUGGUGUUGAUGGGAAUCCACAACCUUGUUGUUACUUCCGCUAUUUGGAUUGAGGUAAUAGUAUUUACGUUACUUUAUACAUGUGAUUUACCUCUGUUAUAAAUCCUCUAGUAUUGUGUGUGUCAGCAUACCGAUCCAGGGAUGACACUUAAGCACAGAGACUUCCGUCUGAGGUCGGGUCGCUACAUCGUUUGGCUUGCAGAAUACAUGGAUUUAUCCGAACUUAGUUUGUCGACAAGAGAAAUUCUGCAAUGCUUGUGACGAUGACCGAGUGUUAGAAUGCGAGAUUCGCUAAAACAUAUACAGGGUAAUGAUUUGGAUGCGGGAUGGACUGAUCACCAUGCCGAUUUACUCUUAUUAUUCGCCCUGCUAUAUGGGAUGGUAAAUCUGAGUGACUUACCUAUAGUAGAGAGACGACGAUCAAAACCUUGUUUCGGCCUUAGAAUGGUAGGACAAUUUUCCCUGGUACAAGGCUGUUGUUGCCAAUCGUAGGAUAAACGGUGAGGUUCAAACCAGACCCAUUUCCUGCAGGACAAACCAUAAAUUGUUGACCACCAUGAGAUAUCGAUAGUUGUUUAGUAUUGGCGCCAGACCUGUCAGCUAAGAAGACCCAGUCUCAGAAUAACCUUACCAAGAUGAAAGGACAGAAGAACUGCAGUAAAGGUUAUGCCACUACCGGAAGAGCCCAGAGAAGGAAUUUUCCCGAGAAUCUGAGAAGACCGACACUGUCAACAAUAAGGAUGGAGUAUAUGAGUUUUGAUGGAACCGUAACCAUGCUUCUAAGGGUGGUAGCACCCCAGACCCCUUGUGAUGAUCGAUGGAUUUUGAGAAGACCCCCAAACCGAACCUAUUUCUUUCAAGCGUCUCCGAAUCUCGAGGACGAGAUUCAUUUUAAGGGUGAUAGGUUUGUAACAUCCCAAAAUUCUAAAUUUUGGAAUGUUAUAAUGAAUAGAUAGCUUUGAUUGAUUUUUUGAUUGUUUGAUUGAUUGUUUGAAACUGAGUGAAAUUCGAAACUUUCUGAAAGUUAAAUGAGAUGGAAUAAAAGGACUUUCCCAAACUUUCAUCUUUGCUUGCUGAUCUCCAUGAAUUCAAAUUCUUUUCAAAUACAAAACCCUUGAGCGAAGAUGAUAUGACUUCUUCCAUUUAAUUAAAUGAAAGGGAUUUGAAAGGAUUUGAAUUUUAUUUGGAAAUAUUUUCCAAUUCAGAAACUUUAUGCAACUCAAUGAUUUUCACGAGAGAAGAUAAAAUGACUUCUUCAAAUUAUGAAAUAUGAGUUGGGAGUUUCAAAGAAUUACAUUCAAAGUUCUUUUGAAUUUAUUUUCAAUUUGGAGUUAUUUGAGUUUUAUCCAAAUUAUUUUUCUCCAAAAAUAAAAUAUAUGGAAAAUAGGGUAACAUGAUUCCCUACAUCAGAAAAUUGGGGAGAAAUAAAUUUGAAUUAAUUUUGGUAUUUUUAAAAUGAUUUUUACUGGAUUUUACUAGAGCAGAAGCACUCUUUGCUUUAUUUGAAUUUGUGUGUAUUUUAUUUGAGUCUAGGAAAAUGUUCAACUUGUAGGAAAUCUUUUUCUGAGAAUUUUGGUAUAUAAUAUGCCUAUAUAAAAUUUUGCUUUAGUUUCUUUAUUCGGUUUUCCUUCUAUUUUUAUUUAAAAAAAUUGUAUGUGCGGCCCAUAUUUAUUUAUCGCCUACACGCGUAGCAUAGUGGCAGCAGGCGCAUCAUUUUUUCCUAAAUGGGCCAGGCCCAGCCAGCCUUUUUUAUUUUUUUACUUAGGCCGAAUUCUGUUAAAAAAAACAUCAGCUGCCGGCCGCCUUACGCGUUUAGGCCCGUGCGACGCGCCUUGUCUGUUUCGUUUUCUUUUCAUCUACGUACGUAUAUGUUUAGUCCCACAUUGCCUAGCCUUUGACCCCUAAGCGUCUUUUCCAUCAAUAAAUAUAGACCCAUAGAGCUCCUUUCCGGCGGGACUUCUGGAAGUUGUCUCCUCUCUGUGAAGUUGUCUUUUCUCUGCCUUAUAAAUGUAUUUUUCUUUGUUUUUUUAUACUUUUGUAGUUUAUUACAUCUGGAUUAAUAUGGUAAAAUAAUUAGAUUAUCAAUUAGUCUAUGUAUAGACCUAGAAUUCCUUUAGCCGUAACUAUUUUUCUUCCAUAAAACAGCUUGGCGCUGAUCUUUCAAAUAGCCAUAACUUUUUACUCGUUCAUCCAAAUUACAUAAAACCAGCGCCUAUAGUUUCGUCUUGUUUUCACCUAUCCCGUUAACCUAUGACGUCAACUUUUUGAAAUUUUAAAAUUUCAAAAUUUGUUCAGAUUCAUAUUCAAACUUCUUUUGUUCAUAACUUGAGUUUCCUAGCUCCGUUUGAGUUGAUUCUUUUUGCAAAUUAAAGAUCUUGACCUAAACUUUCUGAUAAGGCCAAAUUGACAUAAUUUUGGUACUGUUAGAAAUUGUUUUAUGUUGCAAGAGUUAUUUGCUUGGUUUUGAUGUUUUCC